UGGGGGAAUUUUGGACAAUGGGCGAAAGCCUGAUCCAGCAAUGCCGCGUGUGUGAAGAAGGCCUUCGGGUUGUAAAGCACUUUUGUCCGGAAAGAAAUCCUUGGCUCUAAUACAGUCGGGGGAUGACGGUACCGGAAGAAUAAGCACCGGCUAACUACGUGCCAGCAGCCGCGGUAAUACGUAGGGUGCAAGCGUUAAUCGGAAUUACUGGGCGUAAAGCGUGCGCAGGCGGUUUGCUAAGACCGAUGUGAAAUCCCCGGGCUCAACCUGGGAACUGCAUUGGUGACUGGCAGGCUAGAGUAUGGCAGAGGGGGGUAGAAUUCCACGUGUAGCAGUGAAAUGCGUAGAGAUGUGGAGGAAUACCGAUGGCGAAGGCAGCCCCCUGGGGCCAAUACUGACGCUCAUGCACGGAAGCGUGGGGAGCAAAACAGGAUUAGAUACCCUGGUAGUCCACGCCCUAAAACGAUGUCAACUAGUUGUUGGGGAUUCAUUUCCUUAGUAACGUAGCUAACGCGUGAAGUUGACCGCCUGGGGAGUACGGUCGCAAGAUUAAAACUCAAAUGAAUUGACGGGGUCAUAGCUG
rnacentral:rRNA from 1 species